rnacentral:rRNA from 1 species
GGGAAACGAUGUGGGAAGGCCCAGACAGCCAGGAUGUUGGCUUAGAAGCAGCCAUCAUUUAAAGAAAGCGUAAUAGCUCACUGGUCGAGUCGGCCUGCGCGGAAGAUGUAACGGGGCUAAACCAUGCACCGAAGCUGCGGCAGCGACACUAUGUGUUGUUGGGUAGGGGAGCGUUCUGUAAGCCUGUGAAGGUGUACUGUGAGGUAUGCUGGAGGUAUCAGAAGUGCGAAUGCUGACAUAAGUAACGAUAAAGCGGGUGAAAAGCCCGCUCGCCGGAAGACCAAGGGUUCCUGUCCAACGUUAAUCGGGGCAGGGUGAGUCGACCCCUAAGGCGAGGCCGAAAGGCGUAGUCGAUGGGAAACAGGUUAAUAUUCCUGUACUUGGUGUUACUGCGAAGGGGGGACGGAGAAGGCUAUGUUGGCCGGGCGACGGUUGUCCCGGUUUAAGCGUGUAGGCUGGUUUUCCAGGCAAAUCCGGAAAAUCAAGGCUGAGGCGUGAUGACGAGGCACUACGGUGCUGAAGCGACAAAUGCCCUGCUUCCAGGAAAAGCCUCUAAGCAUCAGGUAACAUCAAAUCGUACCCCAAACCGACACAGGUGGUCAGGUAGAGAAUACCAAGGCGCUUGAGAGAACUCGGGUGAAGGAACUAGGCAAAAUGGUGCCGUAACUUCGGGAGAAGGCACGCUGAUAUGUAGGUGAAGCGACUUGCUCGUGGAGCUGAAAUCAGUCGAAGAUACCAGCUGGCUGCAACUGUUUAUUAAAAACACAGCACUGUGCAAACACGAAAGUGGACGUAUACGGUGUGACGCCUGCCCGGUGCCGGAAGGUUAAUUGAUGGGGUUAGCGGUAACGCGAAGCUCUUGAUCGAAGCCCCGGUAAACGGCGGCCGUAACUAUAACGGUCCUAAGGUAGCGAAAUUCCUUGUCGGGUAAGUUCCGACCUGCACGAAUGGCGUAAUGAUGGCCAGGCUGUCUCCACCCGAGACUCAGUGAAAUUGAACUCGCUGUGAAGAUGCAGUGUACCCGCGGCAAGACGGAAAGACCCCGUGAACCUUUAC